GGGGAUGUGGCUCAGGGGUAGAGCUCUUGCCUUGCAUGUAGGAAACCCUGGGUUUGAUCCCCAGCACCCCCA
rfam:Cavia porcellus supercont2_25 genomic scaffold, whole genome shotgun sequence.